CCUACGGGAGGCAGCAGUGAGGAAUAUUGGUCAAUGGACGAGAGUCUGAACCAGCCAAGUAGCGUGAAGGAUGACUGCCCUAUGGGUUGUAAACUUCUUUUAUAUGGGAAUAAAAUGUUCCACGUGUGGGAUUUUGUAUGUACCAUAUGAAUAAGGAUCGGCUAACUCCGUGCCAGCCGCCGCGGUAAUACGGAGGAUCCGAGCGUUAUCCGGAUUUAUUGGGUUUAAAGGGAGCGUAGGUGGGUUGUUAAGUCAGUUGGGAAAGUUUGCGGCGCAACCGUAAAAUUGCAAUUGAUACUGGCAGUCUUGAGGACAGUUGAGGUAGGCGGAAUUCGUGGUGUAGCGGUGAAAUGCUUAGAUAUCACGAAGAACUCCGAUUGCGAAGGCAGCUUACUAAACUGCCACUGACAUUGAGGCUCGAAAGUGUGGGUAUCAAACAGGAUUAGAUACCCGAGUAGUC
rnacentral:rRNA from 1 species